rnacentral:sRNA from 1 species
UCAACGAGUGAAGGGCGUGGAGAGCCCGC